rnacentral:misc_RNA from 1 species
CCGAGUGAGGGUGAACAGCCCGACCUCCCACCCUAUGUGAUUAUACCAUGUUGCCUCGGGGGUACGCCCGCGCCUCGCGGCGUCGGCGCCCCCGGUGGACCAUUUAACUCCGCGUCUCAUGCGUCGGUUUAAAUUGAUGAAUAUUAUCA